UCAAGUGACUGAGCCCCCCAGGCGCCCCUGCCUGGCUUGUUUUUAGUCGAGAAAAAGCCCUUCCAGACCAGGGCGCCCAGCUCGGAAGCAAGUGCCUGUCUCCGGGCCAGGUCCCUGGAGUCUGUCAGCUCCCCCGGGGGCGCCGCAUAGACCUCACUUCUGUGGUUCUAAAGCCUGAUACCCAGCCAAGGGAAACGGAGAGAGAGGACACCGCUCCCUCCCCGACGGCCCCCACCAGCCCGCCUGCAGACAGCAGGGGGCGCAGCUGCCCGUAAGGGGGAAGCCCUCCCGGCUGCCGCCCGCUGGUCCCAGCCUGCAUCCCCUCGGUGAUGUUUGUCCUGGUUACAGAGGUCGUGAGCGUUGCCUGCGGCCUGGAAGCGAGAGGCGAAAUUCAGCGGGUCAUUUGAAAAUGGGUAAACUGAGGCACCAAGAGGGCAAGAGGCUUGGCUGCGAGCAGAGCAAAGGUCUUUAACUUCUCCUCACUCGGCAGCAUUAAGUGACCAAAUGAAAACACCACGGCCGAUGGCAGCUCUGGCUGGAGCCCAGAGAGAGGGGUCAGCCCUGCGUCCAGGACAAGCAGGACACCUGUCCCUUCUCUGCGAGGGGUCUGGACCUCAGUUGGUCUCUGUCCCCGCUCAGAGCCCCUUGGGCGAGAAGUGGGAGCCGCGCCUCCCCCGACAGUGGGGCCCUACCCUGUUGGCUCCCUACCCUGCCCCUGUGGACGCCCGCAGAGCGGCCGGGAGGGGACCGGGGAGGGCGAGGCCCAGAGGGCACGGGACGCCCCCUUCCCCACAGAGCCCUGCGGCCGAGGCCCCUACGACACCGCCGGGGCCAGCCGGGGGCCACCCCUCAUCCUUUUUGAGAAUACUAUAUGUUAACAUGGACUUUGUAUUUUAGGGCAAUUUUAGGGCUACAGAAAUGGAGCAGUUGAAUGUUCCCGUGGACGUCUCUCCCCCACACACGUGACUUCUUCCACAGGAAGGUCUUGCGUUUUGUGAUACAUUUGUUACCACCGAGGUUACAAUGAUAAUAUUGACACAUUAUUACUAACUGA